rnacentral:lncRNA from 1 species
UUUUUUGUAUUUUUGAAAAUGGAUUUUACAAAAAUCUUUUUCAAAAUAUUAUAAGUUUUUUUAAAUUUAUUUUUUAUAACUUAAAAUAUUAAAUUGUUCAUUCUAUAACAUAAAUUUACAUUAUUGAAGAUCAAAACAUAGUCAAAAUCACAAUUUUUUCAAAAAAUUGUAUCUUAAAAAUGAUUUUUAUGAAAAGCUAUUUCUUCAAAAUUAAGUGAUUUUUU